GAUGAACGCUGGCGGCGUGCCUAAUACAUGCCAGUCGAGCGAACGGACGAGAAGCUUGCUUCUCUGAUGUUAGCGGCGGACGGGUGAGUAACACGUGGAUAACCUACCUAUAAGACUGGGAUAACUUCGGGAAACCGGAGCUAAUACCGGAUAAUAUUUUGAACCGCAUGGUUCAAAAGUGAAAGACGGUCUUGCUGUCACUUAUAGAUGGAUCCGCGCUGCAUUAGCUAGUUGGUAAGGUAACGGCUUACCAAGGCAACGAUGCAUAGCCGACCUGAGAGGGUGAUCGGCCACACUGGAACUGAGACACGGUCCAGACUCCUACGGGAGGCAGCAGUAGGGAAUCUUCCUCAAUGGGCGAAAGCCUGACGGAGCAACGCCGCGUGAGUGAUGAAGGUCUUCGGAUCGUAAAACUCUGUUAUUAGGGAAGAACAUAUGUGUAAGUAACUGUGCACAUCUUGACGGUACCUAAUCAGAAAGCCACGGCUAACUACGUG
rnacentral:rRNA from 1 species